UACGGGGGGGGCAAGCGUUGUUCGGAAUUACUGGGCGUAAAGGGCUCGUAGGCGGCCAACUAAGUCAGACGUGAAAUCCCUCGGCUUAACCGGGGAACUGCGUCUGAUACUGGAUGGCUUGAGUUUGGGAGAGGGAUGCGGAAUUCCUGGUGUAGCGGUGAAAUGCGCAGAUAUCAGGAAGAACACCCGUGGCGAAGGCGGCUCUCUGGGACGGUACUGACGCUGAGACGCGAAGGCGUGGGGAGCGAACAGG
rnacentral:rRNA from 1 species